rnacentral:rRNA from 1 species
GCCAAGGGCAUGGCUGGUUGGCUACGUUCGGGAGGGAUAACCGCUGAAAGCAUCUAAGCGGGAAGCCUGCUUCAAGAUGAGUAUUCCCACCUCCUUGAGAGGGUAAGGCUCCCAGUAGACGACUGGGUUGAUAGGCCAGAUGUGGAAGCCCGGUAACGGGUGGAGCUGACUGGUACUAAUAGGCCGAGGGCUUGUCCUC